UUUUUUUUUUUUAAGACCAGGUUUAUGGCUAUAUUUUUUCCAAGGGAAUCAAAAAGUUACCUGUUUGAAGUACAAAUAACACCGUGUUUAAAAAUCAAAAAUGCCAAUUUGCAUAGAAGUUUCCAAAUACCCAGUUGGUUUGAGCCUUGCAUUGCAGUGUCACUACCUGCUCUUAAAUUUCUACACGAUGUAUAGAUAGCGAGGCAGGGACGGCUCGUACAUCUUCAGGUUUCGAUUCUACUUACUUGGGCUAUAUUUUCAUUUAUUUUGGCAUACCUGUGGGUGUGGCAAGCAAUGCCAGGGUAUUUAUUUUGAAUCUUGUCCAAUAACAGCUGGGAAGAUUUUCACAUUUUUAGAAUUUUCAUAGUAAUAGUUAUAAUUUACAAAGAAUUUUAAAUUGUGUAGUCAUUAUUUUGCUUUUUUUCUAGAUGUGCCCCGAAACAGGGUUGCUAACUAUCAUUCUACAUCAGAGGAUUCAGAACAGUACCCUUCUGGAGCAGAUGCCUGUAAUCGAGGAAUUCUGCCUAGUCAGUUCACUUUAAGCGUGUUUAAAAGGUUUUCUUUAUCCUAGUUGGCACCUGUGGCUAUAGUUGGUUUUCAUUGCUGAAGAAUAUUCCACGAUGGAAGCCGUAAUUCAUCUGUUUUUCAUAUCGGUGGACAUUUGGAUUGUUUUGGGAGGGUGUGUAUGUCUAUUCAGCCUUCAUUUUUUCAGGAUUUUUUUGUAGAAGAUAAUGUAACAGUGUAACAUCCUCUGCUAGGGAACCAACACGAACCCUGAUUACAGCCACACAGACUCUCACACAGACUCUCAGGCCUUGUUACCAACACACAGAACCAUUUUCUUAAGUUGAAACACAGUAGCAGAACCUGAAGCCAUGUGAACGGUUCCUCCGAUCUUACACUUGGAAUUCACUUUUUAUUGCUAUGUCUGCUAAUUAGGAAGCAUAUCAAUUAUACAGAAAUCUGAGAAUGUAAAAUUAUACGUUUAUAACAGAAAAAACCUUAUUUAAUAGCCCAGAACACAUGGCUAUGUUUUUCCCUCAUGCCCCACCACUGUUUUCUUUGCUUGAAAUGGGAAAUGACACUUGAAUGCGGUUUUCUAGCCACUGUUAGACUGGCAUAGUUCUUCAGAGACAGAGGAUGUAAAGCACAUGGAGAAUUUCUGUUUGUGGAAUGUGAUUUCCCGGUCGCCUCAUUCAGGUUACCACCGCCUUCCCCUCUGGCCGCCUGCACCGUGGGAUGUCUGAGAAGGUCCCUGUUUCAUCCUCUGGAAAUUCUGAAAAGGAAGGAGAGGAGUGCGUGCAGGGUGUGGUGCAUUUGUGUUGGUCCUUCCAGCUUUUAUUUGGAGUCUCGGCUACCUUGGUGGUUCCUGCCUUUAUGUCCCUAGGUCGUGGCUUCGUCCUUGUGUCUAACUCACAGGCAGACAGAUGGAAAGGGA
rnacentral:lncRNA from 1 species